CUGGUGUCCACCGCCCAGAACUGGGAGAUGGCUGUGGAGUUCAGGAAUCUGUCAUCCGGCAGCCGCUUCAGCAGGGCCUGGAAUUCCUCUGUGGGGCUGGAAGUCCAAGGUCAAGAGGCUGCGGCCAGGUACUGGUGAAGGUCCUCUCCUGGGCUGAAAAUGGCAGAAUUCCUGCUGGGUCCUCACGUGGUGGAAGAGGUGGGCACUUGGUGCUGAAUAAUGUCUCUGUAUUGAGUAAGUUGGCAACUGGCUACUGCAGUGGGAAGGCAGAACCAGGAUUAUUUCAAGGGCCGGCUCCCAUGCAAUUUUCUGACCUUUACUUGCCCAUUUCCGAAGAUCAGUUCUAAAGAGAACAAUCAAUUAGAAACCGUCCUGCCUUCAGAAAGCCCUGAUGGAUCUCAGGUUCAUUAGCACAUCCAAUUUUCCAUAAAUGCCGGAUUGUGCAAAGCCUCAUUCAGAUCUUCCCAGAAAUCCUUCACAGUAGAAAUUAUUCUGAUUGUUCAAUGAUUUUAGAAGGAACUAAUUGGAGCUCAGAGAAGUUUGUUUCUUACCUGGAUAGGCUCUACCAUCAAGUAUAACCUGAACCUGGGAACUUCACAUCCGCACUAUUGCACCAACUUCAUCCAAGUCACUGUUGUUCAUCUUGGCCAGUGCAGUAAUGGGUCCACUGGGCUCCAGGAACCCCCUUCUCUCAUCAGCAAUGCCCUCAUGGUCUGGCCCCUGCAACCACUGUCGCCUCAUCUGCCUCUUCACUCCUCUGACUCCACUCCAGCCACACUACCGGUGCUCCUGGAUCAUACCAAGCACACUCCCACUUCAGGGCAGUUGCACCCCCUCCCUGCUCUGUCUUGAAUGUAGUCACUCAAGAUACCCUUGUGACUCACGCCCUCGCUUCACUGAUAUCUCUGAUCUGGUCUUCCC